rnacentral:lncRNA from 1 species
UGGAAAUGACUGCAGCCAGGUGUGUGUGAUUGGGCCCCGCGACCUUUUUCUUAGGCAAACAGGGCUUUGUGGAUGCAGAAAGACUUCUUUGGUUGUGUAGUUUGUCUCAGAGCCUCUCGUGGGUGGAGCCUGGUAAAAAGAGGAAAGAGACUCAUGUUGCUCAAUGUGAGGAAGCACCAGGAAUUUUGGAGAAGUUCCCAGCAGCUCAGGAGAGUGGCUGGUGCCUUGUCCCAGGGGAGAGGGAAAUAAGCACAGGCCUAUUUCUUUCUCAAGACGGAAAAACCGAGCCCCAGAAAAUGGCGAUAAGAUGGGGAUGCAGGAAAAAGCUAGCUAAUGAACAGUUCAGCAGUGGGCACCGUGUGGGAACCUCUCCUAAGCCGCCCUCCCUCUGAUGGAUGCAUGCUCAAGUGAUUUCGUUGGCCCUUAAAGGAAAGUGUUAUUCCAUCCUGUAAUCCUAGCACUUUAAAAGGAGGCCGAGGUGGGAGGAUCACCUGAGGUCAGGAGUUCACGACCAGCCUGGCCAACAUGGUGAAACCCCGUCUCUACUAAAAAAUACAAAAAUUGGCCGGGUGUGGUGGCAUAUGCCUAUAGUCCCAGCUACUUGGGAGGCUGAGGCAGGAGAAUCACUUGAACCCGGGAGGUGGAGGUUGCAGUGAGGUGAGAUCGUGCCAUUGCACUCCAGCCUGGCCACAGAGCGAGACUCCAUCUCAAAAAAAAAAAAAAAAAAAGACAUCUGCCCAAGGGUCAUAGCUGUAGAGGGGCAGAUGUGGUUUGAACCCAGGGCGUCUGGUUCCUCUCUGGAAGCAACCAAAGUGCCUGUGAUUGGGGUAGUGACAAAGCACUCUGAGCCGCUGCAUGGCAGAUGCUGUGAAGAGUCAUCUUUGCCUGUCCCAUAUCUAUUCCCAUUUUUUCUGAUUGUAACACCUUGUUUUUUUGUGUGUGGUGGGGGAACCAUGCCCUUUCAACCAAGCUAUGUGGUGUUCAUAAGGGUAGCCCCUCCUCCGACCCCAGGAGUGGCAGUUCACAGCCCUGACUGAUCACAGUGUUCCGUGGCCUAGCUGUAACCACCCCAGGGAGUGAGACUGAACUCAGGGGUUCAUUGGACCUAUCAGGAAAGAGAGACCUUUCUUGUUUCUGGACUUGGAGCUGUGAUGAAGUAAGUGGGUCAGGGGCCAACACAUAGACAGCGUUGGCCUACAAAUGCAGCCCAGGCAGAGGACGGUGCAGCCAAGCCACACAGAGAGACAACUUCCUAGUGACACGCUGUGAACUCCUGCAUCCACCCCUGCCUGAACUGGAGCUUUUCCUCUUCAGCUCUUCAGUUAUGUGAGGCAAGAUGUUGCCUUUUUUGCUUAAUGCUGUGAGUUGAGUGUACAGCAGUUACAAUCAAAGAAUCCUAAAUAAUGCUGCAAGCAUGGUGACUAUCUACAUGGGAAUAUGCAGUACUCCAGUGAAGACAAAACAUAAAUUAAUUUUGGAAUCUGAUGACCAUAAUCUAAAAACAUUCAUAGAGGUAUAUAAAAAUUAUAACAAAAUUUAAAGUAGCAUAUCUCCUCAUGAAGCAGGUUAAGUGUAUACACAAAGAAGGAGGAGGAAAAGGUGAGAAAGAAUCUGCCCUUGUGGGGAAGUGACAGAGGCAGAAGAGGCUGAUGCAGUCCUGCAUCCAGGCCCAGCUCUGCCAGCAGCUGAGUACCCCUGAACAAGCUCCCCCACCUCUUCGGGCCUCACUUUCCCCAUCUAUGAAAGAAAGGGAGUCUAGCUUCCAUAGCUGCCCCAGCUGAUACGCAAGGUGCCAGUGUGUCCUCAGUCCUGUCAGGAGAAACCUUCCCCACUAGAAUCCCAGGAGGAGCUUGAAAUCCUGUCUGGGAUCCUGACGGCCCAGGUGCUGACCCUGCCUCGGGUUGUGUCUGCUAAGAAGUCUGAUUUCUGCUCAUCUCUCCCCAUUUCUUUCUUCCCAUAAAGUGGGCUGAUGCGCUGGAACGUCGAUGCAGCCAGUGAUGUGUUUGAUGAGAAUGUAUUGAGAGUAAAGCUGCCCAGAAUCCAAGUGUGUGUCAUCUGAACUCUUGAAUCAUGGAUGGAAGGUAUGUCCUCUGUUGAUGUCUCGCAGCCUGAGCUGACAAUCUGUAAGAAGGUUUUGUUAUCUUCAUGUUACAGAUGGUGAACCGAAACUUACAGAGCUCAAGUCACUUGACCAGGCUCCACCCCUACAAGAGGCAGCACGCAAACUAAAAACCAGGCGGCCUUUUCCAAAGCUUGUGCUCUGCUCCACUGCUGGAAGGAACCCUUCGGGGAAUUGAAGCAGCACUGAACAAAGGCCAUUUUUAAGAAGCGACACCAGAAACCUAAGGCGGGGUCCCCGGCUCAACAAGGAUCUCAUGUUUUGUGGGUCAGAGAUUCUUGUGUCGUGUCUGGGUGAGGUCAAAAACCAUGCAGAGACUUUCACUUCCUGUUCUGUGGCAGACAAGACAUCUGAAAAGCUCUCCUGCAGCAACACUUCUAGAUGCCAAGUAAAUCACAGCAAGUGCACUUUUAAAUGUGUUACUAAGAUCAUAAAAAUGAAGGAAAAUGCCCAAGCAUAUCCCCAACCCCUCACCCCACAACCACCACCACCACAAUAAACAAGUUGCUGACAGU